GACGAACGCUGGCGGCGUGCUUAACACAUGCAAGUCGAACGGAAAGGCCCUGCUUUUGCGGGGUGCUCGAGUGGCGAACGGGUGAGUAACACGUGAGUAACCUGCACUUGACUUUGGGAUAACUUCAGGAAACUGGGGCUAAUACCGGAUAGGAGCUCCUGCUGCAUGGUGGGGGAUGGAAAGAUUCGGCGGUUGGGGAUGGACUCGCGGCUUAUCCGCUUGUUGGUGGGGUAGUGGCUUACAAAGGCUUUGACGGGUAGCCGGCCUGAGAGGGUGACCGGCGACAUGAGGACUGAGAUACGGCGCAGACUCCAACGGGAGGCAGCAGUGGAGAAUUUUGCAGAAUGGGCGGAAGCCUGAUGCAGCAACGCCGCGUGCGGGAUGCCGGCCUUCGGGUUGUAAACCGCUUUCGCCUGUGACGAGGCGUGAGUGACGGUAAUGGGUAAAGAAGCACCGGCUAACUACGUG
rnacentral:rRNA from 1 species